AAGAGAAGAAGCAAGUAUCUUCUUGACAGCAGCCUCUGCCUCGUGGCUGGGAUGAGAUCAGCCUGUUUCAGACUUAGAUAUCAACAUGGGCUGAGUACUCCAGAUCUAAGGCAAACUCUUCCUAACCUGAAAAAUUUCAUGGAACUGGGGCUCAUGGUCAGAUGAUAUCCCAGGUGCUGCAAGGUGUCGAAAAUAUCAUCCAGUGUGAGGUAACCCCACCAGGGUUUGCUGCCAGAUCACUUGGUGCUGCCCUGGUGACGGGAGAUGGACUCAACAUUGCUUCAGCUGAUUGGAGAAAUAAUCUCUUUUGUCACAGUUAACGUUAAAUUAGGGUGGAAGAGUUGCUCCUAAUGAGAUAAUAAACUAUUAAGCACUAAUGGGCAGACAUUAAUAACUUGCAGCUGGUUUGUGUCUUCUGGGAGAAUCUCAAAACCCAAAAACCUGAUUUGAAACGACACCACUGUGACACUGGCUGAUCUUUAACAGUGCAGUUAAAGCUUUCUAGGGCUGUUUGUGUUGUAUCUGAAUGCCCUGAAGCACUGAGCAGACCCUGCUGGUGUGUGCCAUCUUCUCACUACUGAAACUUCAAAAGAGUUUUG